AGUGAACGCUGGCGGUAGGCCUAACACAUGCAAGUCGAACGGCAGCACAGUAAGAGCUUGCUCUUACGGGUGGCGAGUGGCGGACGGGUGAGGAAUACAUCGGAAUCUACUUUUUCGUGGGGGAUAACGUAGGGAAACUUACGCUAAUACCGCAUACGACCUACGGGUGAAAGCAGGGGAUCUUCGGACCUUGCGCGAUUGAAUGAGCCGAUGUGGGAUUAGCUAGUUGGCGGGGUAAAGGCCCACCAAGGCGACGAUCCGUAGCUGGUCUGAGAGGAUGAUCAGCCACACUGGAACUGAGACACGGUCCAGACUCCUACGGGAGGCAGCAGUGGGGAAUAUUGGACAAUGGGCGCAAGCCUGAUCCAGCCAUACCGCGUGGGUGAAGAAGGCCUUCGGGUUGUAAAGCCCUUUUGUUGGGAAAGAAGAGCAGCAGGUUAAUACCCCGCUGUUCUGACGGUACCCAAAGAAUAAGCACCGGCUAACUUCGU
rnacentral:rRNA from 1 species